rnacentral:rRNA from 1 species
AGUGAACGCUGCGGCGUGCUUAACACAUGCAAGUCGAACGCGAAAGGGUAGCAAUACCCGAGUAGAGUGGCGAACGGGUGAGUAACACGUGGGUAACCUGCCUCAUAGAGGGGAAUAGCCUUCCGAAAGGAAGAUUAAUACCGCAUAAGAUUGUAGUACCGCAUGGUAUAGCAAUUAAAGGAGCAAUCCGCUAUGAGAUGGACCCGCGUCGCAUUAGCUAGUUGGUGAGGUAACGGCUCACCAAGGCGACGAUGCGUAGCCGACCUGAGAGGGUGAUCGGCCACAUUGGGACUGAGACACGGCCCAGACUCCUACGGGAGGCAGCAGUGGGGAAUAUUGCACAAUGGGGGAAACCCUGAUGCAGCAACGCCGCGUGAGUGAUGACGGUCUUCGGAUUGUAAAACUCUGUCUUCAGGGACGAUAAUGACGGUACCUGAGGAGGAAGCCACGGCUAACUACGUGCCAGCAGCCGCCGUAAGAC